UGGCUGUAGUGAUGAUGAUGACAGUUGUCUUUGUCCUGAAAAGAUCUAUGUGGGCUUUUAGUCACUACCUCAUCUGAACAGUCA
ensembl:snoRNA small nucleolar RNA SNORD11B